CAAAGCUUAACAUUUUUCUCAUUCAAACAUUCAUGAGAGCACUAUAGGAGCACUUAAUCGAAACCGAUUCUCCUUGUAAAGUUGGAUGGUUAUGCCCCGAGCAGUUAUCCACUACUAGAAUCAUAGGCAACCCCCAUGACGUGUUGUACUAUGUUGAGCAAAGUAUCAGGGAAUCAGCGCGUGCGAGAGACAAGUUUAUAUUCGCCCCAUGUUAUAAAGAUUAUGUAGGGAGUAUUGGAUCCUCAUGGUGAUUUGUAAUUCCAAUAACAUAAUUUAUCACCUUGAUUCAGCUCGAUCAUCGGAGAAGUGGCUCGUGAAGUCUAUAUUGUAAAA